rnacentral:sRNA from 1 species
UUUUUUUUUGGUUUUAAUUCUUUGCUUCUUUUUGUAACGU